rnacentral:rRNA from 1 species
CCUACGGGAGGCAGCAGUGACGAAUAUUGGUCAAUGGACGAGAGUCUGAACCAGCCAAGUAGCGUGAAGGAUGACUGCCCUAUGGGUUGUAAACUUCUUUUAUAUGGGAAUAAAAUGUUCCACGUGUGGGAUUUUGUAUGUAGCAUAUGAAUAAGGAUCGGCUAACUCCGUGCCAGCAGCCGCGGUAAUACGGAGGAUCCGAGCGUUAUCCGGAUUUAUUGGGUUUAAGGGGAGCGUAGGUGGAUUGUUAAGUCAGUUGUGAAAGUUUGCGGCUCAACCGUAAAAUUGCAGUUGAAACUGGCAGUCUUGAGUACAGUAGAGGUGGGCGGAAUUCGUGGUGUAGCGGUGAAAUGCUUAGAUAUCACGAAGAACUCCGAUUGCGAAGGCAGUUCACUGGACUGCAACUGACACUGAGGCUCGAAAGUGUGGGUAUCAAACAGGAUUAGAUACCCCUGUAGUC